UGCAGCUCAUUCAUGAUCACACUGAAGCGAUACUGCUGUGUCUUCACGCCCUGAAGGGGAAACCAAAGUCAGUUGGUCCAGGGCAUCUAGGGCCAGGCGGUAUCCAUCCGUGGAGAACACGGUUAGGGCAGCAAGUAGCUCAAAUACCUGCAUCUUCACCAUGGUGUUGGAGGUGUCCAAGGCUGUGGAGCAUCAUGAUCAAACACAUCAGUACAGGGCACUGUUGGGAACAAGAGCUCACUCUUCAUUAGGUUGAUGAUGAUCAUGAGCAGAUGACUGGAAAGUUCAACUUGGCAGAAACAGAGGAAGCAGGCCACAACGAGAACUUAUCGAAAAGGAAGCAGAAUGGGAAACAAUAGCUCAGCACUCUGCGGAUGAGUAAAAGAUAUGUCAGCAGUCCAGUCAACACCAGCUCUGUCAAACAUUCCAGCCUAAUCCUAUAUGAAAGAGAAGAGAGUCACUAUCCGUCCAUCAAAACAAGCAGGCUCAACAUUGCCUGGACAGUGUGCAUCAUAAUUUACAAAAUAAACAAAUUUACAUUCAAGCUCAUUUGUGGGAUACUGGAAAACAUGCACGGUCACGCUUGUGAAGAGCUAUUGCAAAAGAAAUGACAGCGCAGGAAGAGCAUUCCAGAAACAUCCUGCCAACACAUCUGACACUGACAUGAAAGCACACAUUUAUCCCUAACGUUCCCAUUUCUGACACAUCCCCAGAGAACUGUUCCCUCUUUUACAAACCCGUCAACCCCUCAAUAUCUACAAACUGUACUCUAACAAAAUCAACAGGCUAAGGAUCAGGCCAUAAUAGGGGAACGAUUUCUUAGAAAAUCUAAAAAUACUUCCUCUGUACUGCAGUUGUGAUAGGUGGUCCAGCAUAAAUGAACAGCGUGAGCGGUUCUUCGGUCUCCUGUUGUUGAUUUCACACUUGGCGAGAAUAAGCUAUACAGAUGAGACACUGAGUGGUGAACAUGAACAAACAAAAUGCUCUGCAAGAAAGGUCACUGUGAGAGCCACGCUGUAAGGAAUUAUAGCCUUUACCAUCACCAGACAAUGUAUAGCUUUACUCAGGAAACCUGCUUUCUUAAUGCUUUAUUUUGGUUGGACAUGUAAGCAGCUCACUAAACUAAAAACCCUGUUACAAGCUGCUUGCAAAUGACUUGGAGGUCUAUAUUUUCAAAGGGUAAUGUGCAGGGAACAGAAGUAAUGACUUGUGAAAAAUCAGAAUUAGAUUUCUAUUCACUCACAGGGUAAAACGAGACUUUUCUUUUCUCACAUAUUCUGGCAAGAUUAUGUGAGAAAAGACUGCAGCAUUUCAGUCCUGCUGCCAAUAUGAGAGUGUUACCUUGGCAGCAGCAAGCAGACAGACAAUGGGGGUGUUACAAUGGGCCUUCUCAGCACUCUUCAGAGAGCUCCAUUUGCUCCCUGUUUCCUUUUAGACUAAGAGAUAUGUCCACCAACUACUCAGACACUUUCUGAUUCAGGACCAUGUUGUACUUUCACGUUCAGCCUGAGCAGGGGACAAAAGUUGCAACUUGACACUUGUAAUCUGGAGAAUUUUCACAGUCAUGAACACUUGUGAAGCUACUGGGGUUUACUGAAAUGCACUGGGAGUUUUGCUAAAUCUAAAUCGAGUCUAAGUCCUGUAAAUCAACAGACAAUUAAGAGAAGCUGGUGUCCUUGGUGUGUGGGUGUGUCUCAUCUCAUGUUCACUGUUGGCCGGACUCCUUGAAAAUUUUUUCAGGGGGAAGGAAAGGACUUUCCCCUGGGACAGGAAACCUGAAUCAAGAUAAACACGCUGGUGCGACAGCUCAUGUUGCCUUUUCUGAAAAUCCAGUUUCAUUCUUGAAGAUGUUCAUUUGAUCUCAUGUACAGAUGGACAGUCUGUUCAUGUUCACACAUCUGGGUUACAAGCAACACCAAAGAUCGACAGUAAUGGAAAGACAACAUUUGCAUAUUCUUUUGUGUACCUGUCAAAUAUAAGCAAUUUUCAUUUGUUGACCUUGUCUGCCAGAGCUCCCACAUGUACCACUAAUAGCAGGCUGAUUCACUGCACACAGGACAAGCCUACUCAUCUGUUCUCUGGUGAAGCUGCCCACACAGCAGCCCACUGCUCUACUGUACAGCAUCAACACUUAUGAAAAUGCAGAAAUGUCGCCACUGAUUUAUUUCCUCUGAGGCAUAUGCAGAGCUUGUGGAGAAUAAAUGAUUUUUCUACAAAUGUUCUGUGUCUGUCAGCAAUAAUGUAUCUGUAAAUCAACCUGGGAAUUAAUUAAAUCUCAUGAAGCAGUUUACAUAUUUUUCAAGUCAUUUGAUUUUUCUUGCACUGACAUGUCCUGUUUAGCAGAGAGACUUGUGUACUGGAAUAAUAACUGUCUUGGCAUAGGUUAAAAGUAUGUGAACAUAUGACUCAUGUUUUUCUUGAAGAUUGAAUAAUUAUCGAUAAUUAGUCAGGCUUUAUCCAAACCAUAAAACUGCUUCCAGUAUUUGGAGGAUGAUUAUUACAACAACAAAAACAUCUUGUUCUCAUUUAAUCCAAUAUCCAAAGCUCCUCUCCCUUUUCUGCUAUUUAAGGGAGUGACAGACAUUCCUGCAAACUCUGCAAGCAGAUUUUGUGGUUGAAAUGUAUCUUUUAGGUGUAAUUUAGUUUCCUUUAUUCCCAAAGUGUAUGAGGAUUCCUAUGGAUUUAAUAGCUGCACACUGACAGAACAUAAAUGACAGCUCAUAUGGUCCAUACACAGUUCAAGUGGAUUUAGGCAACAGUUUUUUUUUUUCAUCACAGACUUGUUCCCUUCAUUCAGUCCAAGGCAAGAAGGCUUGAGAGGGAACAGUUACUUCCUCCUGGAUGGGUCGAGAAGACGCUGGCACCAGAAUACAGUUGUCAGUUUGCCCAUCUACAUUAAGCAUCGGCUCACUGUGAUCACAAAGCAUCUGGAAUUAUUACAAUUUAACGGUGCAACAUUGUUACUUUGCGCGGUGAUUUGUGCACACACCGGGGACAUAACGGGACAAGUAUUCUUACUAUGGCGAGUACAAGACACCAUAAAACAACACGAUAUCUCUCAGCUAGUGCGUCGCAUCCUAUAACACUGUUGCAUCGUUAUUGGAGC